AUUGAACGCUGGCGGCAUGCCUUACACAUGCAAGUCCAACGGUAACGCGGGGCAACCUGGCGACGAGUGGCGAACGGGUGAGUAAUGUAUCGGAACGUGCCCAGCUGUGGGGGAUAACUGCUCGAAAGAGCAGCUAAUACCGCAUACGACCUGAGGGUGAAAGCGGGGGAUCGCAAGACCUCGCGCAAUUGGAGCGGCCGAUAUCAGAUGAGGUAGUUGGUGGGGUAAAGGCUCACCAAGCCGACGAGCUGUAGCUGGUCUGAGAGGACGACCAGCCACACUGGGACUGAGACACGGCCCAGACUCCUACGGGAGGCAGCAGUGGGGAAUUUUGGACAAUGGACGCAAGUCUGAUCCAGCCAUGCCGCGUGCGGGAAGAAGGACUUCGGGUUGUAAACCGCUUUUGUCAGGGAAGAAAAGGCUCCUUCUAAUAUAGGGGGCUCAUGACGGUACCUGAAGAAUAAGCACCGGCUAACUACGUGCCAGCCGCCGCGGUAA
rnacentral:rRNA from 1 species